UGUGUGUGUGUGUUUACAGCAUACUGUGGCGUAGAUAUGUGUUUAUGCACAGACGUACACACAUGUGCACACACACAUAUCUCUGCAUCAUUUGCUUUUUAUGAGUGGAAGAAAACAAAAAAAUUACAUAAUAGUUACCUCUGUGCAUGUGACGGCACCAUUAGCUGACGUCACGAGUAUUUCCAGGGCACUUCUGAGUCGUGUGUCACAGCCCUGGCAGUGGGAUGUGCUCUGACUAUGCUGAACUGAAAGCGGCCCUAGGGACAAAGGGCCUACAUCAUGCCAGCAGAGGAAGAAUCACACCAGCCAGGGGAGAGAGAAGAGCUGAGAGGCACGGGAGAGGCUGCACAUGAAGGCACAGUGGAAAAGAGCAGCUGUCCUUGGCGACGCAACCUUGGGAAAAUCUCCAUAACCUCCCAGCCUGGAUCCAGCCCA
rnacentral:lncRNA from 1 species